CGGAGCUAAGAGGCUCAGAGGCCAUCGAUGUCAGCCCCAGCUCUCUGAGAAGUAGGUCACCCUGGAGCCCAGGGCUCCCCGCCAUGUCUGUCAUCGACCAGAGACUCAUGUGUCCCUGCUCCCGGCAGUCACYGUCCGUGCUGCCAGUGGCUCUCUUCCCCCUCCCUUUGGGCUCAGAAUGCCACGUGGCUGACCUGUCCAAGGUCAAGCUGCGUGUCCCCCCCAACACUCUUGCUCCCUGGGCUGGUGCGGAGGACCAUCCACUGUGAUCACUAGAAAAUGGACCUGGGCUGGCGGGUCCCAGCCUCACGCAAAACGGACGCUGGCUGGGCCACCGCUCAUCACCGGUGGAGCACRGCUCUGAGCUGCUCCCGCUGCCUCAGUUCCUGGGGUCCCUGCCAUCUCUGCGGCCGCCACCCCGGACACCUGGGCCCUGGGAACACUGGGAUUCAGAGGGGCCUGCCCUGUCCUCGACACCUUCCACCUAGGACCGCCGGGCUGUGAGCUUCCUGAGGACGAGGGCCUCUGGCACCAGGGCGUCCCAGUGGAACCGGUCCUAAGGGUGCCAUUAGACUUUCGUGGAAUCAAUGUUCUGGAACUCAAGGACACGGGACUCUACACAGUGGGAAGCAAUGUCCUUUUUAACUCGGUGCCUGUCUUCUCAUGACAGCUAGGAGACACUCCAGGUGGGGGUGAGGACAUCUUCCCUCCUCUCCCUCUGGCUGUUUGGCUGUUUUGGCGUCUGGCCAGGAAGGGGAAGUCCUCCGCUCAGACCUGCGCAGACAAAAGUAUCCAGCAAGAGUACCAGUGUUGCUUUAUUUUAGAGUCAUUUUCAAUUUAUACCAGAAGAUAACAGUUUUCCACUUGCAAUUGCAACACAAGUGUCCUUUAAAUUGGUUUUAUCUAUCUAUCUAUCUAUCUCUAUCUGGCACUGGGUAUUGAACUCAGGGGCACUCAACCACUGAGCCACACCCCCAGCCUUAUUUUGCAUUUUAUUUAGAGUCAGGUUCUCACUGAGAUGCUUAGCACCUUGCUUUUGCUGAGGCUGGCUUUGAACUCGUGAACAGGCUCCUGCCUUAGCCUCCCGAGCUGCUGGGAUUACAGGUAUGCCCUACUGCAUCCGGCAGGUUUUCAAUUUUAAUACAAUUUCAGAUAUAAAAAAGGUUUUAAGCAUAAUACAAAGAAUUCCUAGAUGCCUCCUUUCUCCCUCCCCUUCUCUCUCUUUCUGUGGUACUAGGGAUUGAACCCAAGGAUGCUUUACCACACAGCUAUAUCUCUAGA
rnacentral:lncRNA from 1 species